rnacentral:lncRNA from 1 species
GUGACUAUCUCUGCCUCAGACUCCUUUCUUGGGCCCUUCCUCCUCACGCCCUUCCUCCUAAAAAUCUUCCUCCUAAAAACCUUCCUCCAUUGAACCUCCUAAUAGUUUGAUUUUAUUUCUUGUGAUUAUGAUAUUUAGCCAUAUUUUUUGUUGAGGUAAAAUUCACAUAAAUAAAACUAACCAUUUUAAUGUGUACAAUUCAGUGGCGUUUAGUACAUUUACAGUGUUGUGCAACUGUUACUUCUGUCUAGUUUCAAAACAUUUUUAUCCACCCGCAAAGAAGGCCCAAUACCUACUAAACAGUCACUUCCCCACCAUUGCCCCCUCCCCUAGCCUGUGGCAAGUACUAGUUUCCCUUCUCUUUCUGUGGAUUGACCUGUUCUGGAUAUUUCAUAUAAAUGGAAUCAUACAGUAGGUGACCUUUUGUGUCUGGCUUCUUUCACUUAGCUUAUUUGCAAAGUUCAUCCAUGUUGUAGCACUGUAUCAGUACUUCAUUCCUUUUUAAUAGCUGAAUAAUAUUUCAUUGUAUGAAUAUACCACAUUUUGUUUAUCCAUUUAUCUGUUGAUAAAUGUUUGGGUUAUUUUCACCUUUUGGUUAUUGUGGUAAUGUGAAUAGGGCUGCUGUGAACAUUCAUAUGUAAUUAUUUGUUUGAAUUUCUGUUUUCAGUUUUGGGGACAUAUACCUAGGAGUAGAAUUGCUAGGUCAUAUGGUAAUUCUAUGUUAAACUUAUUAAGGAACUGCCAAACUUGUCUGCAGUGGCUGCACCAUUUUAUAGUCCCACCAGCCGUAUUCAAGGGUUCCAAUUUUUCCACAUUCUUGCCAACACUUUUAUAUUGCUAUUAUUGUUAUUAUAGUAGCCAUGCUACCUGGUGUGGAGUGGUAUCUUAUGGUUUUGAUUCGGGCAUGUUUUCAAAUGCUUAUUGACCAUUUGUAUAUCUUCUUUGGAGAAAUGUCUAUUCAAG